rnacentral:misc_RNA from 1 species
AAGUCGUAACAAGGUUUCCGUAGGUGAACCUGCGGAAGGAUCAUUAAUACGUUUCUAAACAAAACGUUUUAAACUCCAAAAUUUGAUCGUGGAAAAUAAACUUCCGGAUGCAUUUGUAGGGAGGUUCAGUGUAAAAACUGACCUUCUUGAAAAAGGGACUUCAAAGUCGUAAGACUUUGACACUUCAGAGUAGAGCAGUGAGGUGAAAACUCAGCAAUGAGUUUUGGUUCUGAAAUACAUUUGUAUCCGGUUAUUCUCUGUUCUACAAACUCCAAAAUAUCAAACAAUAAACCCCAUGUACAACAACUUGAACUAAACAUUUCUUUGUUAUUCUUCUUGCACUUGUGUGAGAAGAUACUACAAAGAAAAAACCUGAACUUAAGAACAGCUCUUAACAACGGAUAUCUUGGUUCUC